rnacentral:lncRNA from 1 species
CUGCCUGUUGACAGUCUUAACCCAUUGCGGGGUAAAAAGGAUGUGGCGUGGGGGCGUGCAUUUUGUGUCUCUCGUGGGUCCCCUUCUCAAAUCGGACUAUUGCAAAAAGCAGGCAGAAAGGAGGCAGGCGUCCUUGUUGCUCCCGCCUGCAAUUCACUGCGAUGAGUUUGGCACCUACAUUGCUGUGCUAAACCUAAGGCAUUUUUGACCUAAAAAAUUGAAAUGUUUGAGCAUCGUGAAAGAACUCUUUGGAAGCAGUCCUGCUUUCUCCCUCUUUGCCUUAACUUGGCAGUUUUUCUCACCUACAGACAAUCGUUGCCUUGUAAAGACCCUUGAAGAAAUCUAACACAUCCUCCCUGGGGUACACCUUUUCCAAGCAAAAACUGCAUUAAAUCUUUUCAUGGUGGGCUUGCGUUGUCUUGGUGUCUGAUACUGUGGCAAGUGUCCAAAUUCUCUCUGUGGAGCCAAUAUACUCUGCACUUCCUACAGUCAAAAUACUCUGAAGAAGACGGAGAUUCUAAGGUCCAAGCCUUAGGGCAGGAGCUCAUUUUUGCUUCCUUCAGAAUGAGUUGGCCAUGCUCUUCCUCCACCUAAACCUAGGCUCCUCUUAUCUCACCCAUAUGACUUCCAGACACUCCUAAAAUUACUCUUGUUGACUCCUAUUCUGCACACUGCUGCAGAAUUUUUGUCCGAAGCUCCGUAUUAUUAUCCUAACAGACUAGAGCUCCCAUUCCUUGGCAGAGCAUUCAAUGCCCUGCCCACAACUGGCCCCGAACAUUCUGUCUUGGUCCUACACAACCCCUCUGUGCUUUCAAAUCUACUUAAUUACCCUACUGCCUUCCACUUCUGCAAAAAGUUAUCUUGCCCACGCCUAGCUUUUUCCUUUUAUGCUAAUUCUCCUUCCUCCUUUCUUCCUCAGAGCUUCUUAGCUCAGCUUUCUCAGCUGUUCCUACCACCACCCAGCCAAAUCAGUGAACAAGUGAAACAACCUGCUGUCUACUUCUGUCUUUUCACCUACAGUUAAUUCUCAAUGUGGCAGACAGUAGAAUCUGUUUUAAAAUGUGCGUCAAGUUGUGCUAUGUUUUUGUUCUCAACCCUCCAGCAACUUCCUAUCUGCCUGAAGGAGGGCAUCAGGGUCACAGGUGACAUGGUUCAUCCCUCCCCUUUCUGAUGUCUUCCCUUACUGCCUCCCUCCUUGCUGUGCCUCAGACAAGAGGAAAAAUUUUUAAAAGUCACCUUGGACUGAAGACCAGCAUCAGUUUAUAUGGUGUGAGUUCUUUCCAUUUGCCUUAGAUUGCACCUACACUGACAGAAGAAAGUAAAAAGAUCCAGCAGUUGAGGGAGCACUGGCUUCAUGGUUGAGUCAUCAUUUUGCUAAAUUAUGUAAUAAAUUCAUAAAUACUAACAGUGGAAAAACUAAACAGUGGAGGGAAAAUCCACUGUUUAUCUUCAUCUCCCAGUCUCCCAGUAUUUCACCAGUGGUAUCAAUUAUGAAAUGUCAGACUCAUAGGGAAUGGGAGACAGAGCUGGUCAAUGAUCUGACCAAGCAUCUGAUGAUGAUAAUGUUUUUAUUAUAUAAGGAGACACUUAAAACUGUAUAAAUAGACAUUUUAUUGUUUUCCUCUAAAUGUGUUUAACUCUAAAAAUGUUUUAGUGCAAAAUGUGUUAGCAGUUAGCAAUUGUUUGUUAUACUAGUGAUCCAACAUCUGUUAACAAUGAGGUUCUGGCAUACCAUCUGUAUUAGUCCAUUCUCAUGCUGCUAUAAAGAACUGCCUGAGACUGGGUAAUUUACAAAGAAAGGAGGUUUAAUUGACUCACAGUUCUGUGGGGCUGGGGACACCUAGAAAAUUUACAAGUAUGGUAGAAGGGGAAGCAAACACAUCCUUCUUCACAUGCUGGCAAGAGAGAGAAUGAGAACCAAGUGAAGC